UUUCAGGCACCCUUUCUUGGGCCGCGAGGUCCCUAUCUCGAACGGCUCAGGAUUCGUGGUGGCUGCCGAUGGGCUCAUUGUCACCAACGCCCAUGUGGUGGCUGAUCGGCGCAGAGUCCGUGUGAGACUGCUAAGCGGCGACACGUAUGAGGCCGUGGUCACAGCUGUGGAUCCCGUGGCAGACAUCGCAACGCUGAGGAUUCAGACUAAGGAGCCUCUCCCCACGCUGCCUCUGGGACGCUCAGCUGAUGUCCGGCAAGGGGAGUUUGUUGUUGCCAUGGGAAGUCCCUUUGCACUGCAGAACACGAUCACAUCCGGCAUUGUUAGCUCUGCUCAGCGUCCAGCCAGAGACCUGGGACUCCCCCAAACCAAUGUGGAAUACAUUCAAACUGAUGCAGCUAUUGAUUUUGGAAACUCUGGAGGUCCCCUGGUUAACCUGGUGAGUGAGACAUCCUUCCUUCCAAGAAUCCCUGCCCCAGGUCAGUGUGGGAAGGGUAGGUUUUCCCUAAUUCAAGGAUGUUUGGUCAAGUUUCUGAGCAGUUCUUUGUUGGCUAUCUCUCAAUAUCCAACCAGAUCUCCCCAACACUUGCUGGUACUUUUGUUCGGGUGCCCCCAUCCCCUACUAUUUGUUUGGGCUAGGGAACUGGGGGCUGUAUCCCUGCAGGAUGGGGAGGUGAUUGGAGUGAACACCAUGAAGGUCACAGCUGGAAUCUCCUUUGCCAUCCCUUCUGAUCGUCUUCGAGAGUUUCUGCAUCGUGGGGAAAAGAAGAGUGAGCCUGCCUUAUGGGGAAACGGGUUCCUUUAAAGUGGUGGAAAUAGGGGAAGGGCAUUCAUUGGGACUUCCUGGAGGGUGGUCUACUGGGAGAAGAGGGCGGGGAAGGAAGGAUGUAGCUGGGUGGGGCUCAUUUGUCCCUCUGUCACAGAUUCCUCCUCCGGAAUCAGUGGGUCCCAGCGGCGCUACAUUGGGGUGAUGAUGCUGA
rnacentral:sRNA from 1 species